GAUAGCCAAAAAUCUCUGCUGGAUUCAGAUUAGGCGCAACUGUAUGCACUGAUUGAGUCAAAGGGUCGUAGAGCCCACCCAGAAACAUCGCCUUAGCGACCAAAAGCAGGGCACCUCCGCCUAACAGCACCAAGUGUGACCCUAAAAUUUCAGUCAUUUUGUCACCGUCACUCCA
rnacentral:antisense_RNA from 1 species